ACAUAGGAGACAGUGAAACACAGAAAACUGUGAAAAGGAUAAACAAGGACAGAGAAAUGGCAGAGUUAUGUAAACACAAGGGAUGUCAGGGUACCGGCAAGGAAGCUGCAAUCAUGCUUUUAAAGGGGAAAAGAAAUGGUCCACGACAAAGGGUAAAUCAAAUAUUCAAAGUAGCUCGCUCUGGAGGGGAAGAAAAUUAAAUGACUUUUUUCUUAAGACCAUUGACAUCUCUGUAUAAUCUCCAGGUGUGCUCUUACCAGUUCAAGUGGUACACAAAUUAGUAACAGUGAUGCAAAAAGAUAAACAUUAUCCAUGGAGCACAAUUUCAGGAGACAAAAAGGACAAAAUAAGAAAACACCUCAAUUCAUUUCAUAAAAUGGAAUCACAUAAUAGUAGAAAAGAUAGUAACAGGCAGAGGUAGUACCUGAAACAACUUUACAUGUUAAAAGGGUGUGUGAACUUUACAAAGAAAAAUGUGAAAAUGUAUCGAGAUACGUGUUUAGCACUGAAUAUAAUCUAGCCAUCCAUAUGCCUAACAAGGAUGCUUGCAAAUUUUGUGAAUGAUACCAAAACCUCUCAGACAAUGAGCACUGUAAUCACAAAGAUGAAUUUUGUGGGGUCCCAGAGUGGUUCACCUGGUAAAAGCACUGCAGCAUGGUGAGCAGGGUGAGUCACAGCACAGGUUUGAAAUCUGGAUGUUGAAAGAGGCUGGCCUUUGCGUGGGACACUGGAGGGAGCGUCACAUGGGCCAUGAUACUGCUGUGGGCAGGGAGGGAAAACUGGAGGAAACUACAUCUCCUGAUUGACCGCUGCUGGCCAGGUGCUCAGUGAGCUGAGGGCAGACACAUGCAGGGCUGGCCUCGGUCCUCCAGAGGCUGGUAGCCCGCUCACAUCUGCUCUUGAGUUCCUGAAUGAAAAACAAAGCUUGCUUGGUCCUGGGAUCAGAGGAUGCCCACUGAACCUGCUCGGGUCUGCUGAGCUGUCUGGGGAAAUCGCCGCUUUGAGGAAAAAAUCUAAUUGGACACUAAAUUUGGAUAAAAAAAAUUGGACAAAAAGAAUCUGGUACUGUGGAAGGGUGGUGGUUAAUUCACUGACACAAGGGAGACACGAGUGAACUUGAAACACCGCACAGGUGCCCAGUUUUAUUAAUGGUGGUGCAGUUUCACUUUUUGGCCCACAGAGGGCACUGUUGUCUGUGGUAUGCCUAUCAGCGAUGAUAUGCAGAGCCAUAGAGAUACCAGACGCGGUACCGUUUGUCAGUGCAGGCGCACUCGCAGGUGCUCAAACAAAAGAAUAAGCAAAAGGAGGAAAAAGAAAAUAAAAAACACAGUUAAUCAAAAACUACAAAUAAAAGGUGCUGCACUCGGCAGCUUCACCCCGACUGUCGCUACCCGCAUGGUCCGGGUCUCCGUCCUACCCUCGCCGCUCCCUCAGACUGCUAAAACAAAUAAUGAUGGGGUCUGCCCACGGUUUUCCCCGCUAACACUGGUUUCUUUAUUUUGUUCUCUUUUCUUUUGGGGUUUUCCUCCCCGGCUGUGUCUCGCUUCUGGACCAGAGUGUCUGCACGUCUUUUCAGAAGGGCAGACCUGAGGGAACAGCAGAAUGUUAUUUUAUAGGGCCAGCAAUCCCCCCCCCCCCCCAAGACCCGCCUCUCAGCCAUUCAGAGAGAAGGAAAGCCUGCACACCCACUCUCCAUGUCACUGCCAUGACUGACAGGAUGUUUCAAGCUUCCACCCCUUCUGACAGCAGCAACACCAGGUCCGCUGGACGGAUGAGGAAACUCGUUCCUCCUCCAAAUUAUUGCGGACCUGGGGGUUAUGGAUGAACUGGAUCGACCUCGCCAAAGAAAUGCCACCAUUUUCACCAGUAUUACCGGUGCUCUAACUGAACUUAUAAAUGGAACGCUCCUGCAGGUACGAGAUCAAUUCAAGAAACUGAAAUAUCUGUACCUGCAGGAGAAAAAACGCCUGCAGUCCUGCGGUCAAAGCUUGAGGGGCCAAUUUCGGUUCUGGGAGGAAAUGCACCAGUUAAUGGGUGACCGGCCAGUGACAGUGGCAUCGGACCAUUUGCUGGAAUCCUCAUCCUCCCAGACGUCCUGUGAAAUACCAGCCCCAUCAAUACAAUAUGGUAAUUGCGGUAAAGUUAGCUUGACGUUUGAUAUUCGUUUGAUAUUCGACUCAAGCUAACUCGACAUGAAUGAAAAUGGCUGUAUCUCGCCAACCACAGAAGCUAGAGUGCUCAAACCUGUAGCUGUAGCUGCUGAUCCAGGAGCAUCUCAAAAAUCACAGAAUUUCACAAUAACAAGAGAACUGCAGGUGCCUACCCCAGCUCCCGCUGAGGUGGUCACCCGUUCUGCUGUGCGCAUUUCUGCUGAAUCAGCGGUUCGAGAAGUUUGUACAGAGCAAUACCCACUCGCUUCUGCAGUGGCACAGGUGUACGGACAUGUAUUGGUGAUGGCUCCAUGUCCACCCGUACAAGUUCCAAUGUUUAAAUCCAUUGUUUGUCAGAGAAAGACUCGUGAAGCACAACCUCCUCCGUCUUUCCUGCCGAUGCACAAAUAGGUCUGUACAUAGGGACAAAGUGGAUGAGGGUGUAUGCUGGAAAGAAAGCUCUAGAUAAGAAAGAAACUGAUGCACAAUUCCUUUCCUGCAAACCCAUUGCAUGGGACUGAAGGAGUUCUUCCCACACAAGACUUACUCUAGCCAGUGUUUGUCUGUGUCUUCUCCAUCCAUCCAUUUUUGUCGCAACUAUGUUAUAAAUAGGCCUAUGAUUUUAUAUACCCUUAUAACUAAUUAGCAAAUACACACAAAUUAUGUAUUUAUUAUAUUAACAGUGUUUGUGUAAGUUUCCACAUUUUCUGCAUAAUUAAUUUUAAUAUUUCAACAAAGUACCUGUGUUUGAAACCAAAACAUCAUGAGUUGUUUUUAAUAUAUUUGUUCCACAUUAACGCAUAUUUGUGAUUAUAUAACGUAUAAUACUUUUGUUUAGCACAUUAACAGUUAAGCAGUUGGCUAAGACUAAUAUAUAUGGGUGUGUGAAAGGACAUCAGUAGCCUAAGAAGCAUAAGAAAAGCAGUAAUGGGAAUUGGUGAGUGCUGUCGGUUUUUGUACACAUGAUACUUCUACCAUUUUAGAACAACUAUUUCUAGACAAAUGGGGGGUAACCUUCUCUUCAUCUCUGCCUAGCACGUAAAGCCUCAUGUAAACCCCUAUGCAUUAUUUGAACGAAAUCCUUUAUCGCGCAGCAUCUCUUUUCAGUGUGUUUGGUGAUUUUUAAAUAAACCAUCCCAUUAUUUUAUUAUUAAUGAGGUUGUUUGCAUUUGGACGACUAAAUUCUCCCUCUAAAAUAAUCUCUCAUGUAAACGUGGAAGCAGAACUGUCAUGACCAUAAAAGUGCGAGAGAUCUGUUGUCAUGCUUUUCAGUUUUUGCUUGUAAACUGCCCCAAUGUAUCUGUAUUCAGUGUAUUGGUGAAGAAUUGUCUUUUUUCCCAGCAAAACAGGAUGAUGAUGACAUACCAAAAAGCAAGAAGGUGAGACGCAGAAGCUCAUUGUCACUACCACAUCCAAACAGUAAGUGAGGUUAAGAACAGCUAGCAAACACUUAUUACUCUAUACUUUAUUUGGACCUGUUUGCCUGGGUUUGACUGAUUUAAAUACUAUCAGAGCAAUGUAGAACAAAUGUGAACUUUCUAAGUGACUGAUACACACAGAGUCAGAAGGCUUGUCUAGCUCUCCCUCCCUCUCCCUCCAGUAUCAGACAGCAGCUCAGAGCAAGAGCAGAGACAGGAUGACUCUGCAGAGCUCCAGGCUGAACCAGAGACAUCCAGUCAGGCUUGCAAAGAUUCCUGUCAGCUCAC